AGAGUUUGAUCCUGGCUCAGAACGAACGCUGGCGGCAGGCUUAACACAUGCAAGUCGAACGCUCAUCUUCGGGUGGGAGUGGCAGACGGGUGAGUAACGCGUGGGAACGUACCCUUUGGUUCGGAACAACGCCGGGAAACUGGCGCUAAUACCGGAUACGCCCUUUUGGGGAAAGGCUUGACUGCCGAAGGAGCGGCCCGCGUUCGAUUAGCUUGUUGGUGGGGUAACGGCCCACCAAGGCGACGAUCGAUAGCUGGUCUGAGAGGAUGGCCAGCCACAUUGGGACUGAGACACGGCCCAAACUCCUACGGGAGGCGGCAGUGGGGAAUAUUGGACAAUGGGCGCAAGCCUGAUCCAGCCAUGCCGCGUGAGUGAUGACGGCCUUAGGGUUGUAAAGCUCUUUCGCACGCGACGAUAAUGACGGUGGCGUGAGAAGAAGCCCCGGCUAACUUCGUG
rnacentral:rRNA from 1 species